GAUGAACGCUGGCGGCGUGCCUAAUACAUGCAAGUCGAGCGAACAGACGAGGAGCUUGCUCCUCUGACGUUAGCGGCGGACGGGUGAGUAACACGUGGAUAACCUACCUAUAAGACUGGGAUAACUUCGGGAAACCGGAGCUAAUACCGGAUAUUAUAUUGAACCGCAUGGUUCAAUAGUGAAAGACGGUUUUGCUGUCACUUAUAGAUGGAUCCGCGCCGCAUUAGCUAGUUGGUAAGGUAACGGCUUACCAAGGCAACGAUGCGUAGCCGACCUGAGAGGGUGAUCGGCCACACUGGAACUGAGACACGGUCCAGACUCCUACGGGAGGCAGCAGUAGGGAAUCUUCCGCAAUGGGCGAAAGCUUGACGGAGCAACGCCGCGUGAGUGAUGAAGGUCUUCGGAUCGUAAAACCCUGUUAUUAGGGAAGAACAAAUGUGUAAGUAACUAUGCACGUCUUGACGGUACCUAAUCAGAAAGCCACGGCUAACUACGUG
rnacentral:rRNA from 1 species